CUCAAGUGUCACAUGUCUAGUCGUGGGUGUGAGAAGACUCAGGGUGACCUGAUAACGUGCUAGAGGGUUGCAAGCAGCAACUAAAGGGAUAUUGAAAUGUAUUUGUAGCGUUUCUUGGGCAUUUUUCCAGAGCUUGAGCACAUUCAGUUGGAAUAAAGCUUCAAGCACAGCCCCCUUUUUGGAAUAGAUUUCUGGAGUUUCAUGCCAUUUAUCAAAGAAGCACUCUUCUUUUUCGGAAGUAGGUUUUCAACUUAGCCCUGGCUGAGAGACUGCUGCAAAUUAGCAGGGAAGAGACCCUAACUGGCUCUGUGCAGAAGUUCAUAUGCAGAUUUUUUUUUUUUUUUUUUUUUUUUUUUGAGGAACUGCAUUGCCACAAAGACACUUGUCAUGGCCGCUCUGUCGAUUUGAAAAGAAAAAAGAAAAACCUGGAAAUUGGAAGUGAUUUGCAGUGCUCACCGAGCCUUUGUUGAGAAGGGUCUCCUCUCGGAGUGAGUCAUGCUUUUGCUGUGAGCAGCCCCAAGCAGCUGGGCGCUCAUCAGAGGAAACUAUGACUUUUGCAAAGCAAACGUGCCGCCCUCAGCAGCCAAGUCCGGGGCCGGGGCUGCGCGUCCGCGGCGGUGCGGGGUGUUAGCGGUGGGAGG
rnacentral:lncRNA from 1 species